UACGUAGGGUGCAAGCGUUGUCCGGAAUUAUUGGGCGUAAAGAGCUCGUAGGCGGUCUGUCGCGUCUGCUGUGAAAACUCAGGGCUUAACCCUGAGCUUGCAGUGGGUACGGGCAGACUAGAGUGCGGUAGGGGAGACUGGAAUUCCUGGUGUAGCGGUGAAAUGCGCAGAUAUCAGGAGGAACACCGGUGGCGAAGACGGGUUGCUGGGCUGACACUGACGCUGAGGCGCGAAAGCCAGGGGAGCAAACGGG
rnacentral:rRNA from 1 species